rnacentral:rRNA from 1 species
GACGAACGCUGGCGGCGUGCUUAACACAUGCAAGUCGAACGAAGAGCGAUGGAAGCUUGCUUCUAUCAAUCUUAGUGGCGAACGGGUGAGUAACGCGUAAUCAACCUUCCCUUCAGAGGGGGACAACAGUUGGAAACGACUGCUAAUACCGCAUACGAUCUAAUCUCGGCAUCGAGGAUAGAUGAAAGGUGGCCUCUACAUGUAAGCUAUCACUGAAGGAGGGGAUUGCGUCUGAUUAGCUAGUUGGAGGGGUAACGGCCCACCAAGGCGAUGAUCAGUAGCCGGUCUGAGAGGAUGAACGGCCACAUUGGGACUGAGACACGGCCCAGACUCCUACGGGAGGCAGCAGUGGGGAAUCUUCCGCAAUGGACGAAAGUCUGACGGAGCAACGCCGCGUGAGCGAUGACGGCCUUCGGGUUGUAAAGCUCUGUUAAUCGGGACGAAAGGCCUUCUUGCGAAUAGUGAGAAGGAUUGACGGUACCGGAAUAGAAAGCCACGGCUAACUACGUG